GGCUCGUUGGUCUAGGGGUAUGAUUCUCGCUUAGGGUGCGAGAGAGGUCCCAGGGUUCAAAUCCCGGACGAGCCC